AUUGAACGCUGGCGGCAGGCUUAACACAUGCAAGUCGAGCGAGCGGCGGACGGGUGAGUAAUGUCUGGGAAACUGCCUGAUGGAGGGGGAUAACUACUGGAAACGGUAGCUAAUACCGCAUACCAUCAGAUGUGCACAGAGGGGAUUCGUUAGUAGGGGGGGUAAUGGCGAACCGAGACGACGAUCCCUAGCUGGUCUGAGAGGAGUACCGGCCACACUGGAACGUAGACAAGGUCCAGACUCCUACGGGAGGCAGCAGUGGGGAAUAUUGCACAAUGGGCGCAAGCCGUAUGCAGCCAUGCCGCGUGUGUGAAGAAGGCCUUCGGGUUGUAAAGCACUUUCAUCGAGGAGGCGUUACUCGCAGAAGAAGCACCGGCUAACUCCGUGCCAGCAGCCGCGGUAAUAC
rnacentral:rRNA from 1 species